rnacentral:rRNA from 1 species
UACGUAGGGUCCGAGCGUUGUCCGGAAUUACUGGGCGGAAAGAGCUCGUAGGUGGUUUGUCGCGUUGUUCGUGAAAACUCACAGCUCAACUGUGGGCGUGCGGGCGAUACGGGCAGACUGGAGUACUGCAGGGGAGACUGGAAUUCCUGGUGUAGCGGUGGAAUGCGCAGAUAUCAGGAGGAACACCGGUGGCGAAGGCGGGUCUCUGGGCAGUAACUGACGCUGAGGAGCGAAAGCGUGGGGAGCGAACAGG